rnacentral:misc_RNA from 1 species
CGAGCAGCCGGAAAUGGACUGUGGUCAAUCCAGCGGUAACGAAUUCGCUCGGACAUCCAACCGGAUUCGCGAUCCUGCCCGGCGAAAAUUCCGCUCCGCUGAUUCUUCCCGAGUCAUGGGUUCGAAAGCGCGCCGGUUUUCUCGAUGCGCACAUUUGGGCGACACCCUACCGCGAAUCCGAACUCUACGCGGCGGGCGACUACCCGUAUCAGAGCAAGGCCGCCGACGGCCUCGCUAAAUGGACCGCCGCCGACCGGCCGAUCGACAACCGUGACUUGGUCCUGUGGUACACCAUGGGGAUCACGCAUAACCCGCGUCCCGAAGACUGGCCGGUGAUGCCGGUGCAUGAAGCGGGAUUCAAGCUUGUGCCCUGGGGAUUCUUUUCGCGCAACCCCGCGCUGGACUUGCCGCCGCGGUGAUAGGUCCCCCCCUUGCUAUAAUCAAGGCAGAUGGUUUUUCGCCGCCCGCAACAGCGGGUCCUAGCUUCGAAUUAUUCCCACUUGAGCGCCAAUUCCUGUCCCGUUCGUCCCCUGCAUGGAGGUACCCAGCACCUAAUCAAUGAAAGCUAGCGUGCGCAUUCAGCGAGGCGUCGAGAACCUCUUUGGCACCCGGGAUGAAAAUAUCCGGCUCAUCGAAUCCGGCUUGGGCGUCCACACUCAACUGGUCGAUAAUAAUCUCGAAAUUGAAGGCGAAGCCGACAACGUCAACCGCGCGGAGCGAAUCCUGGAAGACUACAACACGCUCGUGCGGGAGGGCCACGUCUUCAACAAUGGCGACUUGAACAGUUACCUGCGGGUGGUGACGCUCGAUCC